UACGUAGGGUGCGAGCGUUGUCCGGAAUUACUGGGCGUAAAGAGCUCGUAGGUGGUUUGUCGCGUUGUUCGUGAAAUCUCACGGCUUAACUGUGAGCGUGCGGGCGAUACGGGCAGACUUGAGUACUGCAGGGGAGACUGGAAUUCCUGGUGUAGCGGUGGAAUGCGCAGAUAUCAGGAGGAACACCGGUGGCGAAGGCGGGGCUCUGGGCAGUAACUGACGCUGAGGAGCGAAAGCGUGGGGAGCGAACAGG
rnacentral:rRNA from 1 species